GGCCGGUUAGCUCAGUCAGUUGAGCGUGGCGCUGACAAUGCUAAGGUCGUGGGUUCGAUUCCUGUUUGGUCCC
rfam:Apaloderma vittatum contig10574, whole genome shotgun sequence.